AUGACUUUAAUUUACAUAUUUCCUAAGCCACCCUAUCAAUGUUUUCUGUUCCUUAUUUGGUUAUUCAUCACUGAAGAAAUUUUAAACUCUAUUUCUGUUUUGCAAAUGCUGAGAACAACACGCCAACUGAGAGCAAAGGGUUGUAUUCCUAGAAGAAGUAUGCUAAAUGGAGAGAGAUGGAAUUUUGCACUCAUCUGCACACUGCUGCCAACAUGCCAGAGCUAUCUGAGUGAGGAAUUACCUCCAGGGAUGAGAGUGGAACUGCUCUUACAGCUCCUGGGGAAAGGUUACAUCCUUUCACCUGGCUUCUUCUGAAAACUGGGCAUUUGGAAACCCCUUGAGUAUAUUUGCUGCAGCCUUUUUUUGAUUCUUCCACAGCAACUGUGCUUGUCAGGCCAAGGAAACUCAAUACAAAGGGAACCACUGAUCAGCAGGUAUCAGAACUGUCUUGGCAGUUGGAAAGAAAAUUCUGCAGGUCAGUGCAUUCUAACAUUUUACAGAUGAAAAGUGCAAUGCACGUUGUCCUAGUCUCCCCGUAACUAGCAUAGUAAAAGAAAGAAUAAAGAUUCUGAAGAGCUUGUGUGCUAUUGUAGAGUGAAAGUCAUUCGCAUUCACUCUCAGUGAACCGGUAUGAUUCAAAAGGCAUUUCAGAAAUGCAAGAGACUUUGGAAAACUUUUGCAGGCUAUAACAGAACGAGUCAUUUAAAACAAAGUUAAGUGGUGUUUAUAGUCUAAAUGAUCGGUCAGAAUCCAACCUCAACUUUUGGUAUUGAGUGCUUGAUAUGGCAAAUUGUCUUUGAAAAUGUAUAUGCUAAUAGACAUCCAAAAAGUCCAGUAUCUUGAACAGUUUGGUCAUUAAGAGGUCUAUGUGCUGCUGAAAAUUGGUUCCUGCAGAAUAAGGAUUAAACAUUUAACUAUAUUGGGGUUUGAAAAGGAAUAUCUUGGUAUUGAGAGUCCAAGAAAAUUAGACUCUUGUAUUAAUUAUUACUUUAAUGAUAAGAUAAAAUCAGUCAUGCUAACUUAACUAUGCCAAGAUAUUUAAAGAAGCUCACAGUUGACAGAUGGAAGAGACAGAAGUGUAUUUACAGUGACAUAUGUAAUAGAAAAAAUCUCCAUAACACAAGGGGUACAUAAAAAAAAAAUCUUUAAUUCAAUCAUAUACACAAUAUAGGGCACAAGGCUUCUACCCUUCACAAGAGAAUAUUGCUAUUCCUGCCAUGACCUUGUAGACUUUAAUCUUUCAUAAAUAACAAUGGGACGAAUGUUCUAGGAAAAAAAGUCUUUUACAUUCAUAACAGAGUGGGCUGUAAAUAAAUACGUUUCAAAGUGAUAAAAUAGGCUGACAGUAUGUGAUUUGUCCCUAAUCAUGCAACACAUACCGUGCUGAGUGCCCACGGAGUACACAACAAUCUUAUGUACAUGCUGAACACAGAGGCCUGUAUGCUCAGACAGAGGUGAAUAUUCAUAUGUGCUGUGGUGAUACACAGAUACAGGCAUGAAAUCAGGUACACACAGUCUCCUUUCUUCCUUCUCCAUACACACCUCUCUUCUUUCUCACUCACUGCAGAUUUCGGACAUUACAUACAGAGCUUGAGAAAUGAUGUAGUUGGGGAAAAUUUACCCCUGUGCAAACAGAAAAUCUAAAGAUACCUGGAACUGUUGAAAAGCCAGAGGUUACUGGCUUGUCUUACUGCUGGGGUAACAAAAUUGCCUGCUAGAACAGCCCUGUUAGGCAAUUCUAUUGCUGCUAUCAACUGAAUGAUUUUGUUUGUAGGUAGCGUGUCCUUUUCCACAGAGUAGGCCCGUCUCUCAACAGCUGCCUCAGCAAAACUUGUGUCUUGCUCACACUGCAGUCCUACCAGAUACAGUAGUG
rnacentral:lncRNA from 1 species